rfam:Otolemur garnettii contig064820, whole genome shotgun sequence.
UACCUGGUAGACCCUAUAGUAGCACUUCCUGGUCUCAAAAAUUAAUCCACAGGCAUCUAAGUACUCUUGUGGUGAUUCAGCUACUUAAAUCGUAGCCAGCGGUCUUGGUGAUUCUAGGUAACCUAGAGUGAUCGCAUGCCCCUGUGGCACUGUUAGAUGGCAGUCCCAGUGCCUGUCAGGGCAACCACAGUGACUGGGAAUCUUGGUAGUGAAGAAACUUGGUUUCAUUCAGUUUUUCUGAUAAAAUAAUACCUCAUUCAAGGAAGGCAGCAGGUGCGCAAAUUACCUGCUGCCAAAUUGGGAGGGUAGUGGUGAUAAAAACAACAGCACUCUUCAAGCCCUAUAAUUGGAAUGGGUCUGUUUAAGUCCUUUAAGGAGGAUCAGUUGCAGGGCACGUCUGGUGCUGGUAGCCUAUUUCAGUGCCAUGUAUUGAAUUUGGUGCAAAGAGGUUGGCUGUGAGGCAGUUCCUACCCCUUGCGUCUAGGUGUCUUAAGCUCUUAGCCAUUUCCCUGGGGGCUGAAGCGUGUAUUUGGAGAAAAUUAAGUGUUUCAAAGUGGGUGAGGGCUACCUGGAUACCACUGGUGGGAUGAUGGAAUGAGAGUGUGGUUCUAUUUUGUUUAUGUCGGAACUUUGGGGAAACUGAUUAAGCAAGAUGAUUAGGUUGUCAGUAUUGAGCCACUAGAAGUCAGAUCUUGGGCCAGAGUGAAAACCUUUUGCCAAGGAUGUUUUCAUUUUUCAAGGAUGAAGGUGAAAGUGGGAAGUUUAAAGAGGUUCAGGUUCCCAUAUAAUUCUGGCCAUAUAUGACAGGUGUCCUCAAACUAUGGCCCUCAGGCCACAUGUGGCCCGCCUAGGACAUUUAUCAUCCCACUGGGUAUUUUUGCUGCCGCUGCCUAUCCUGCUUAGCAGCCGACUCAUCUGGGGGACCACAGUCUGGCCCUCCAGCUGUCUGAGGGACAGUGAACUGGCCCCCUGUUUAAAAAGUUUGAGGACCCCUGAUGAUAAUAAUGCUGCUGACUCUGACAUUAUGCCUAUAAUAAACUGGCAAAAGCCCUUCAGAUGGUGGUCUGGGAAGCUUCUAGUUCCAAAGAUGAAAUUGAGGCACCUGCAGUGGCAUCUAUAAUUAAUUUGACUCAACAUAGGCAACCUCUCCAGGCUCCAGCAUGGACAGAAUUGACCCAUUGAUUGCUCUUCCAUGGGUGGGGGUGCCUGACUUUUCUGGGUAGAUGGAGAGAUUUGCCUGGUUAAUUGAUGACUGGUUAGUAGGUGUCACUGAAUGCUCAGUAUCUUUCAGUUUAGACAAGUGGCACUCAGAUACCAGAGAUUGAGCAGCCAGCCAAUUAGGGACUCACAUCCAUUAAAGUGUUAGUGAUGGGGUUCAGAAUUGCAGUUAUUUUUCUUUUCUUUUCUUUUCUUUUUUUAAUUUAUUGUUGGGGAUUCAUUGAAGGUACAAGAAACCAGGUUUCACUGCUUGCAUUUAUUAGGUAAAGUCCCUCUUACAAUUGUGUCUUGCCCCCAAAAGGAGUGGCACACACCGAGACCCCACCUCUCUCCCUCUUUCCCUCUCUCUGCUGUUCCCUUCCCCUUUUCUCCCUCCUCUUUCCUCUCUCUGCUCUCCCCUUCCCCUUGCAGUUAUUUUUCAUUAAUGAGGAAUUCCCUCUAAGAAAGGAGGUCAAAAGCCUGCAUUAAUUCACUUCCUUGCUCCUUGUUCAUACUGCCCGUACUCAUCAUGCCCCUCCUUGCGCAGUGGCCAUUUGGGAUUGGCGCUUGACCCUGACCAGUAGCUGAGAUCCCCUACAUGAAAGUUGUAACCAGGUUUCCCUAAGUAGACUGUGGAGAAGCUUUAAGG